UCCGGUUUGUCACCGGCAGUCUCGUUAGAGUGCCCAACUAAAUGUAGCAACUAAUGAUAAGGGUUGCGCUCGUUGCGGGACUUAACCCAACAUCUCACGACACGAGCUGACGACGGCCAUGCAGCACCUGUGCUGGCUACCCUUGCGGGUUCAUUGCCGUUUCCGGUUCUUACUACCAGCAUGUCAAACCUGGGUAAGGUUCUUCGCGUUGCGUCGAAUUAAACCACAUGCACCACCGCUUGUGCGGGCCCCCGUCAAUUCCUUUGAGUUUCAACCUUGCGGCCGUACUCCCCAGGCGGGACACUUACUGCGUUAGCGACGGCACCGGGAGGGUCGCUCCCCCCGACGCCUAGUGUCCAUCGUUUACGGCGUGGACUAC
rnacentral:misc_RNA from 1 species